AGAGUUUGAUCAUGGCUCAGAACGAACGCUGGCGGCGUGGAUAAGACAUGCAAGUCGAACGCUGAUUUGCGAGUAGCAAUAUUUGCAAGUUGGAGUGGCGCAAGGGUGUGUAACACGUGGGUAAUCUGCCGUGAAGUCUGGAAUAACCUGCUGAAAGGCGAGCUAAUACCGGAUGUGAACGCAAGUUCAAAGUUGGGGACCGCAAGGCCUGACGCUUCACGAUGAGCCCGCGGCCUAUCAGCUAGUUGGUGAGGUAACGGCCCACCAAGGCUAAGACGGGUAGCUGGUCUGAGAGGACGACCAGCCACACUGGAACUGAGACACGGUCCAGACACCUACGGGUGGCAGCAGUCGAGAAUUUUUCUCAAUGGGCGAAAGCCUGAAGGAGCGACGCCGCGUGGGGGAUGAAUGGCUUCGGCCCGUAAACCCCUGUCAUUUGCGAACAAGUGGUUUCACCUAACACGUGAAGCCUUGAUUGUAGCGGAAGAGGAAGGGACGGCUAACUCUGUGCCAGCAGCCGCGGUAAUACAGAGGUCCCAAGCGUUGUUCGGAUUCACUGGGCGUAAAGGGUGCGUAGGCGGCCAGGUAAGUUUGAUGUGAAAUCCCGCAGCUCAACUGCGGAACUGCAUUGGAUACUAUCUGGCUCGAGGAAUGGAGGGGAGACCGGAAUUCUCGGUGUAGCAGUGAAAUGCGUAGAUAUCGAGAGGAACACCAGUGGCGAAGGCGAGUCUCUGGACAUUUCCUGACGCUCAGGCACGAAAGCCAGGGGAGCAAACGGGAUUAGAUACCCCCGUAGUCC
rnacentral:rRNA from 1 species